GAUGCCAAUUGUUGCCUCGGCGGAUCAGCCCGCUCCCGGUAAAACGGGACGGCCCGCCAGAGGACCCCUAAACUCUGUUUCUAUAUGUAACUUCUGAGUAAAACCAUAAAUAAAUCAAAACUUUCAACAACGGAUCUCUUGGUUCUGGCAUCGAUGAAGAACGCAGCAAAAUGCGAUAAGUAAUGUGAAUUGCAGAAUUCAGUGAAUCAUCGAAUCUUUGAACGCACAUUGCGCCCGCCAGUAUUCUGGCGGGCAUGCCUGUUCGAGCGUCAUUUCAACCCUCAAGCCCCCGGGUUUGGUGUUGGGGAUCGGCGAGCCCUUGCGGCAAGCCGGCCCCGAAAUCUAGUGGCGGUCUCGCUGCAGCUUCCAUUGCGUAGUAGUAAAACCCUCGCAACUGGUACGCGGCGCGGCCAAGCCGUUAAACCCCCAACUUCUGAAUGUUGACCUCGGAU
rnacentral:rRNA from 1 species